UAGGUUCUUCUGAGCAAAAAAAAAAAAAAAAAAACCAGCCGGUUUUUCCUUUCUUCUUGGUGCCAAUUUAGGCGCUCACAGUCUUAUCCCACCAAACUCAAUUUUCCAUCCCAUCAAAUUCUCUCUCUCUCUUUCUCUCUCUCUACGACGCUGAAUUCUUCUCUCUCUAAGAUUGGCAAUUUCACUUUCUCAAACUAUUUUGCUUUAGAAGGGACAAUUCUGCAAGUACGCUCCUUCAUGUCUCAGUAAAAUCUUUUGAAUUGUAGAUCUCUCAUUAUGAAUGAAACUGUCAUGCGAAACGAAAUAUAGGCGCUUAGAGUAAAGGCUCGGAGAAAGAAAUUGUUGUCUCCAAAGGGCAUGGAUGUACGCCCAAUAAUGGAGGUUGUCAAAGGUGUUGCUUUUGGUAUAUUACAGUUGUAGAGUUGCUAUCAGAGGAUGAAAAUUCUCUACCUUUGACUUUGCAACCUCCCAAGUUACCCGGAAGAGAAUUUGGCGAAGCCAAGGGGGAUUCUUUAUUUAGUAAUGCAAUUAAUAUUAUGCUGUUGAAUUUCCAAAGAGAAAGAUUGAAUUUCCAAAGAGAAAGAUUGAAUGCAUUGCUUCAACAAAGUGCGAUUGUCCUUACUGCAGAAUCUGAUAAGGAUUGGGAUGAUCCACUUUUUAGUGUAAUUUGAUGAACAUAUUAUCAACUAGGGAAGUACUUGAACAAGAGGCAUGCUUAGAUGCGUUGAUCUCUAUUAUAUUGGACUCAUCAACCGAUCAAAUGGUGAGUUAUCUGUAAAGUGACAAUUGAAACGUUUUAACCAAUGUUGUUCGAAACGCAAUGUACGUUAGGCUUACCAUAAUUUCUGUCACGGUUUUGCCAAGGAGUAUGGUUUAUGUGCAAAGUAUUGUUGCUGUCUGAGCCAAACAAUUGGAAGGUUUGCUUCACAAAUAUUGAUGUUAUUUAAAUUACAAGGUAGAUUUGUUGGUUGUCGAAUCGAAUUCGGAUGCGGAAGCGUGG